rnacentral:rRNA from 1 species
UAGGGAAUCUUCCGCAAUGGACGCAAGUCUGACGGAGCAACGCCGCGUGAGUGAAGAAGGAUUUCGGUUCGUAAAACUCUGUUGUUAGAGAAGAACAGCGCAUAGAGUAACUGUUAUGCGUGUGACGGUAUCUAACCAGAAAGCCACGGCUAACUACGUGCCAGCAGCCGCGGUAAUACGAAGGUGGCAAGCGUUGUCCGGAUUUAUUGGGCGUAAAGCGAGCGCAGGCGGUCAAUUAAGUCUGAUGUGAAAGCCCCCGGCUCAACCGGGGAGGGUCAUUGGAAACUGGUUGACUUGAGUGCAGAAGAGGAGGGUGGAAUUCCAUGUGUAGCGGUGAAAUGCGUAGAUAUAUGGAGGAACACCAGUGGCGAAGGCGACUCUCUGGUCUGUAACUGACGCUGAGGCUUGAAAGCGUGGGUAGCAAACAGG